UCAUCCCUACGGGGGGCAGCAGUGGGGAAUAUUGGGCAAUGGGCGCAAGCCUGACCCAGCAACGCCGCGUGAAGGAAGAAGGCUCUCGGGUUGUAAACUUCUUUUAUGAGGGACGAAACAAAUGACGGUACCUCAUGAAUAAGCCACGGCUAACUACGUGCCAGCAGCCGCGGUAAUACGUAGGUGGCAAGCGUUAUCCGGAUUUACUGGGUGUAAAGGGCGUGUAGGCGGGACUGCAAGUCAGAUGUGAAAAUUAUUGGCUCAACCCAUAACCUGCAUUUGAAACUGUAGUUCU
rnacentral:rRNA from 1 species